rnacentral:rRNA from 1 species
GAGGAAUGUAUAGCAAUAGCUACUUGCAUCAUUAUAAAUAUGAUGCAAGAUCGACUAUGUCGAAUAAAAUUCUAGGUAGAAUUAUGAUAAUGACAUUGUCUGCCUAUGUGUCUUGACCAAAUUACGUGCCAGCAGUCGCGGUAAUACGUAGAAGACUAGUGUUAUUCAUGUUUAAUCGGUUUAAAGGGUACCUAGACGGUAAAUCAAGCCUACAUAAUAAAGAAGAUAAAGGGACUAAUUUACUAGAGUUACUUAUGAGGGGGUAUUAAAGUACUGCUGGUGUAGAGAUGAAAUUCUGUCAUACCUCUUUUAAAUAGAAAAAUAAUGGCACAGGUAUAGGCGAAAGCAUCCCCUUAUGUGAUAACUGACGUUGAGGGACGAAGGCUUUGUGUAGCGAACAGGAUUAGAUACCCCAGUAGUCAAAGCAGAAAAUGAUGAAUGUCAUAGAUUAGAUAAAUAAGUUUAUUCUAUAAAUGAAAGUGUAAGCAUUCCACCUCAAGAGUAAUUUGGCAACAUUGGAACUGAAAUCAUUAGACCGUUUCUGAAACCAGUAGUGAAGUAUGUUGUUUAAUUUGAUGAUCCGCAAAAAACCUUACCACAAUUUGAAUAUUUAUAUUUUUUAUUGUUUUCUUAUUAAUUUUCUUCUUUCAACAAUAAAAAGAAAAUUAAUAAUGAGGCAAUAAGGUAUAUUUACAAGCGUUGCACGGCUGUCUUCAGUUAAUGUCGCGAGACUUUGGUUAGUUCCAUUAAAUUAACGUAAACCCUUACUCUAUUUUUAUAUAGAGUAGUUCCCCGCUAUAUUGGAUAUGAU